UACGUAGGGUGCGAGCGUUGUCCGGAAUUACUGGGCGUAAAGAGCUCGUAGGUGGUUUGUCGCGUCGUCUGUGAAAUUCCGGGGCUUAACCUCGGGCGUGCAGGCGAUACGGGCAAUACUUGAGUGCUGUAGGGGAGACUGGAAUUCCUGGUGCAGCGGUGAAAUGCGCAGAUAUCAGGAGGAACACCAAUGGCGAAGGCAGGUCUCUGGGCAGUUACUGACGCUGAGGAGCGAAAGCAUGGGUAGCGAACAGGAUUAGA
rnacentral:rRNA from 1 species